CCUAAACGAUGAAUGCUAGUCGUCGGAAAGCUCGUCUUUUCGGUGAUGCAGUUAACACAUUAAGCAUUCCGCCUGGGGAGUACGGUCGCAAGAUUAAAACUCAAAGGAAUAGACGGGGACCCGCACAAGUGGUGGAGCAUGUGGUUUAAUUCGAAGAUACGCGAAGAACCUUACCAAGCCUUGACAUUGAUUGAAUCCCGUAGAGAUACAGGAGUGCCAUUUCGGUGGAACAUGAAAACAGGUGCUGCACGGCUGUCGUCAGCUCGUGUCGUGAGAUGUUGGGUUAAGUCCCGCAACGAGCGCAACCCUCGUCGUUAGUUGCUAACAGUUCGGCUGAGCACUCUAGCGAGACUGCCUUCGCAAGGAGGAGGAAGGUGAGGACGACGUCAAGUCAUCAUGGCCCUUAUGGCUUGGGCUACACACGUGCUACAAUGGGGCGUACAGAGAGUUGCGAUACCGCGAGGUGGAGCUAAUCUCAUAAAGCGUCUCUCAGUUCGGAUAGAACUCUGCAACUCGAGUUCUUGAAGCUGGAAUCACUAGUAAUCGUAGAUCAGCAAUGCUACGGUGAAUACGUUCCCGGGUCUUGUACUCACCGCCCGU
rnacentral:rRNA from 1 species